AGAGUUUGAUCCUGGCUCAGGACGAACGCUGGCGGCGUGCUUAACACAUGCAAGUCGAACGAAAAGAGGGAAAGAGCUUGCUCUUUCCGGAAUUGAGUGGCAAACGGGUGAGUAACACGUAAACAACCUGCCUUCAGGAUGGGGACAACAGACGGAAACGACUGCUAAUACCGAAUAAGUUCCAAGAGCCGCAUGGCCCAUGGAAGAAAAGGUGGCCUCUACCUGUAAGCUAUCGCCUGAAGAGGGGUUUGCGUCUGAUUAGCUGGUUGGAGGGGUAACGGCCCACCAAGGCGACGAUCAGUAGCCGGUCUGAGAGGAUGAACGGCCACACUGGAACUGAGACACGGUCCAGACUCCUACGGGAGGCAGCAGUGGGGAAUCUUCCGCAAUGGGCGAAAGCCUGACGGAGCAACGCCGCGUGAGUGAUGACGGCCUUCGGGUUGUAAAACUCUGUGAUCCGGGACGAAAGGGCAGAGUGCGAAGAACAAACUGCAUUGACGGUACCGGAAAAGCAAGCCACGGCUAACUACGUGCCAGCAGCCGCGGUAAUACGUAGGUGGCAAGCGUUGUCCGGAAUUAUUGGGCGUAAAGCGCGCGCAGGCGGCUUCCCAAGUCCCUCUUAAAAGUGCGGGGCUUAACCCCGUGAUGGGAAGGAAACUGGGAAGCUGGAGUAUCGGAGAGGAAAGUGGAAUUCCUAGUGUAGCGGUGAAAUGCGUAGAGAUUAGGAAGAACACCGGUGGCGAAGGCGACUUUCUGGACGAAAACUGACGCUGAGGCGCGAAAGCGUGGGGAGCAAACCAGGAUUAGAUACCCUGGUAGUCCACGCCGUAA
rnacentral:rRNA from 1 species